GACGAACCGUGCGAACGUUGUUCGGAUUCACUGGGCAUAAAGGGCGCGUAGGCGGAUGGUCAAGUCGGGGGUGAAAUCUUUCAGCUUAACUGGAAAAGUGCCUCCGAUACUGAUCGUCUCGAGGGAGGUAGGGGCAUGUGGAACUUCCGGUGGAGCGGUGAAAUGCGUAGAUAUCGGAAGGAACGCCGGUGGCGAAAGCGGACGUGCUGGACCUCUUCUGACGCUGAGGCGCGAAAGCUAGGGGAGCAAACGGG
rnacentral:rRNA from 1 species